AUUCAAAUAGCUUAUAUUUAGAGCGUAGCAUUGAAGAUGCUUAAGAGAUUUAUUAAUCUUUGAAUA
rnacentral:tRNA from 1 species